AUCGAACGCUGGCGGCAUGCCUUACACAUGCAAGUCGAACGGUAACGCGGGGCAACCUGGCGACGAGUGGCGAACGGGUGAGUAAUGCAUCGGAACGUGCCCAGUAGUGGGGGAUAGCCCGGCGAAAGCCGGAUUAAUACCGCAUACGACCUACGGGUGAAAGCGGGGGACCGUAAGGCCUCGCGCUAUUGGAGCGGCCGAUGUCAGAUUAGGUUGUUGGUGGGGUAAAAGCCUACCAGGCCGACGAUCUGUAGCUGGUCUGAGAGGACGACCAGCCACACUGGGACUGAGACACGGCCCAGACUCCUACGGGAGGCAGCAGUGGGGAAUUUUGGACAAUGGGGCCAACCCUGAUUCAGCCAUGCCGCGUGCGUGAAGAAGGCCUUCGGGUUGUAAACCGCUUUUGUCAGGGAAGAAACGCUCUGGGCUAAUACCCCGGGGUAAUGACGGUACCUGAAGAAUAAGCACCGGCUAACUACGUGCCAGCCGCCGCCGUAAAAC
rnacentral:rRNA from 1 species